GGCAUUGGCAACUGUCGUAUCAGCGCCUAAACUUCAGUGUGCUGGGACCCCUUGAGAGGUAAGGGCGUUGUGCUGCGUGGCUGCACCUUUUAGCAUCUUAUUGGAGCUGGUGAGACAGCAGGCAACCCUCCCCAUUUAUCCAGGCUUGGGACUGGCUCAUAGUUGGGCUGGCUUGACUCCCAUGAGGCUGAGUACUUCUUUGAAUAUAUAAACUCCAGUGCUAUCCCUGCAUAUGUGCAUGGCUGUCAUAACUGAAUCUUGCACUUAAAAGAACUAAGACAUUUUUGCAAGGUGGGAAGUCUCGUGUCAAGAAGGAAAAAAAUAAGACAUUGAAUUGGGAAUGCUAGAUGGAGGCUGAUGCUCCAGGGAGAGGAGAAAACUUACCUGACAGGUGAUGCAAGAGAUGAGACACCAAUACCUUUUAAGACUGACUAGAAGAUGAGGAACCAGUCAGUAAAUGUGUGGCUGGUGCUGCAAACAACCACCACCACCACCUGCCAUCAUCUUGCUGCCAACUGCUUCCUGUUGUCAGACCCGCUGCUCCCACCGGAGAUGAUAAGGAACCAGCCAGCAUCAAUGUGGCUAUGACUGCUGACCACCACCACCACAGCCAGCUACUGUCCACUGCUGGCACCUCGCAGCUUCCUGCUAAAGACUGAAUCACUGUUGUUUUCACUGGGCCAAAAGACACCUGAAAAGGCACUUGUACUUUAGUGACUGAUUGAUCUUUAUCUUAAGCAAUCAUUUAAUGCAGAAAAUGUGAAUCAGGUCUUACCACUAAUAAAUGUAAUGCACUGUCUCCAAUACCUCACCCACCUCUGAUAUUAAUUUAACAUAUGACUUUUCAAGUAAAUAAAACUUGUAUAGUUGGUUUUGUUUUAUAUCAUGAUUACUCAUGGCUGAGAAAAUCUGACUGGAAUGUGUUGGACUUGCCAUUUCUUUCGUGAAAAAUAAAGAAAAUAACUAGUACACCCAGCCUCGAUACGUUUAGGUUUAAUCCCUUCACUAUGGCCGGGCCAAAACACCGCCGUAUCCGAGAUUGCUGUGCGCGCCAAAUUUCAAAUGUCUUUAUUGAAUAUAACAAGUUUUCAGCCAUAAACUCAACAUAAUCAUCAAGUAUUAUAUAUGAAAACAUGCAAAAUGAAAUGGUGCACAUAAAGAAACAUAAAUUAACUGAUAAUUUUGAGAUGUAAUCAUAAAUAUAGAUAUAGAU